AGAGCUAGCUAUGAGAGAUUUGGUGUCUUGUAACUGCUAUCUAGCAACGUAUGUCCAUCAUGCUUGAUGUUCAUUAGUUAGAUGAGAUCAGUGAGUUAAAGAACUGUUAAAUUUGUGUUUUCCUUUAAUGGAUAUGUAACUGUGGUAGCCGAGGCACAGGACAGGAACUUGACAGAAAAGGACAUGGCGGUAAGAUAAGCUUAUUGCAAAUAUACAACUUCAUAACUUCUUUUAAUAACUUGUCUUAGCAAGAUGCUUUGCCAGUUUGCUUAAUAAAUGUGGAUGAGGAGAUAAAAGAAAGAAAAAUAAACAAAUGCAUUAUUCUUAUCUUUUUCUUUAUGUGUAUGAAUUAUGCAUGCAUCUUAUUAAUGGCAAAUUAAGUAAUGUACUAAUUUUAGGUACAUUUUCAGAAGGAAAACUAAUUGAAAAUCUAUUUUGAUGAAGUUAGGAUAGCCAGAAAAAUUAAUGGAAUUGGCAACAUUUAUAUUAAAGCUUUAGUUUUGGUUUUUUUGUUUGUUUGUUUUUAAUACUGAAAAUGCCAUCCCUUUGAAACUCUUAACUCCUUUCUUUCACAUUCUUAUCAGGUAAGAUAGCAACUGUCUGCCAAAACUAAUUAAAAUUUCCCUCUCAAAAAAGAUCAAUUACUUUUUAUUUGACAAACAUUUUUAGUCAUUACCUUUAGGAUUUAUUUUCCUCUGGAAAAAAAAUGAUUGUUGUCUGACAAUAAUUUUCAAUCACAACAAAAAUGCUAAAUGUUUGAUAAUUAAAAAAGUAACCAAAACAGAAAAAUAAAUUAACCCGCACCAAUAUUAGUGUUAUAAAUUUAACACUUGGGAUAUUUUUCGGAAGGUGCUAGUUUGGUGAUUUCCCUAACCUUAACUUGCUUUCUAUAGUUGUGAGACUAAGGAUUUCCUUGGCAGAGAAUCUGGCUGAGUGACAACACAAAUUUGGCAGGUUCUUGGAAACCUUUUGUUUUGUAGUUUGAAACUGCAGCUUGCAGACGCUGAUACACCCCACAAUCUUUUUUUGUUCUGUCAUCUGGUUGGGAUCAUUAGCUACUGUUUUAAAGGAGGCUAGCAUUCUAUUUCAAAAUAUUUUUCCCCUCCAGGCAUAUAGCUGUAGUUACCAAAGAUGAGAAGCCCACUAAAAACACUUCUCCUCCACAAUACAUUUUUAUUGCACUCUGAUGUCUCUUUUAUUCAUAAAUUGGUAGAGCCUAAGUUUUGAUUAACAAAAAUAUUUCCUAACUUUAGUUGGUAUGAAAAUUGCUAAAUUGUAUCUGAGUUUUUGUAAUAGUUGUUGUUGUUGUUAUAGUCCGGUUUAAAGGACUUUGAGGAGAUGCUCUCAUCUCUGAGAUGCAAUAUUUAAGAGGAUGGUGGGUGUUGGGAAAAGAGAGAACAUAUAGAAACUAAUGACAUAAUGAACAUGGAGACAGGCAUUAGGUGAUUUUUCACACACAAAGAUAAAUUUAUUUAUAGCCGAAAUAAUUGUACAAAGCAGCCUUGUCAUGCAUCCAAGACCCUCUGCAGCAUGCCAUGCUUUCAGAACUUCAAGAUAAAUAGUAAAUGAUCAGAUAAGUUUGAAACAGCAUUACAGAAGCCCCUGAAGAAGUCCACCUGCCUGCAUCUGGCAAAAGGCUUUCCAUCCAGGUCCUUACAGGAAAUAUGUUGAGGAGUCUUCUCAAGUCUUGGAGCUGAGUUUGUAUUCUUUUCUGAAAUAACUUAUGGCUACUUGCUUGAGUUCAGAGCAAAGGAAGCAAUAAAAGUGACAUCAGCUUCAGAUUCUGUGUGUGUCUCUCUCUGCCCCUCCCCCUCUUGCAUUCUCUCUCUCAAAAAUAAAUAAAAUGAAAAAAAUGAAAAAAAUGACAUCACUUGUGGCUGGGCUCAGGUAUUAUAUCACAAAUGUAUAUAUGUAUACAUUCAUUAUGUGUAUAUAGUCAUAUAAACAUAUAUACAAAAACCACCGGAGGGGAAUAGGAGGGAUCACAUGCUGAUUCUGGGGGAGGGUUUGAUAGUGCUGUAAUUUAAAACAAAGAUGACUGCAGUAAACUGACUCUUGGGCUUAAAUUACCUUCAAUGGUCAUUCUCUGCUUAGGGAAAACUGAGAAUAUUGGAAUUUGAUGCUAUAAAUAUUAGAGUAACGAAUGAGAAAUUUAAAAAUAUUACAAAUACACCCAUAAUUGUUGUGAAAGGCAUUAUUUCUUUCCUUCCAUGAAAGGUGGUAAACAGUUUAAACUCAUGCCGCCAAAGACAGUAUUUAUUUUUCUCUUUGAAAGUGUGGAAAAGCCAGUUGCCUCAAAUCCCAAUACAUAAACACUAUUGUUUUCAUUUUUAAAACGCUUAUAGUUCUUAAACCCAUGCAUGUAUUUUGAAAUAAUGCAAUACAUUACCUACUGUGCAUUUCUUUGCUUAAUAUUAUAAAUUUAUUUUAAUAUUUCUAUGUGUACUCCAUAUUUCCUAGUUCCAAUGGCUACCUAACUUUACUACGUGGCUAUACUAUAAUGUAAUAAGGCAUUCUUCUUGCGUUGAAUUUUAGGGUUUUCCUUUUCUUUUAAUGACUAUAAAAAUGCUGCAGGGGGUAUUUGCAUAUAAAGAAUGUCCUUCUAUUAAAUUUUUUACUUCAGGAUAAAUUUCCCUUUUUGGAAAUGUAGGUUGAAAGUGUCAGCACUUUUGUCACCCUUGCCAUAUAUCAGGUUGUUUAAAAUUUUCCACUUGCUGUCAUCUAUACUAAUCCUAUUUCUUCUAUUUGGGGAUGUGUUUCAAACUGAUAAAUCACUCUGUUUUAAACUUGAAACACUCUUAGUAGAAAAGUGUACCAAAACAUGUCUUCAAAUACAAGAAACAAGAGUUAUGAUUUACAAGAAGUCUUAAUAAAUCAACCAAUGAGACUAUUUACUAAGCUUGUUUAAGAUUUGACUUAAGGGAAUUUCAGUAGAACAGAAAAGCAUUUGGUAAUUUUUCUUCGCACCAAGAGUUGCUCAAAGACUUAAUUUUUCUUUGAACACAUUGGUGUGCUUGACAGGUAAAAUCGUUGUUCUUGUCAUUUUAUGAAAUGGGCCACAAACCUUAAAUUAUUAUCAUAAUUAGAGACAAACCCACUGUUACAAUAAUGGAGGCAAGAGGAAAUUCUUAGAAUUACAGAGAUCACAACUUGUAAGAAUCCAGUUUUUAAUACAUUGUGAGAAUCCAGUUUUUAAUACAUUGGCAACUUAGUUUUUGAUAAGGCUUUUCUUUCCCAUCUGAAAAAUGUUUCCUUCUACACACCUGAUACUAUUUUCACAGGAGCUAGCAGAUCACCUGGCAGCAACAUGAACUAAAGGACCUGGAAUCCUAAUGUGAAUAUCAGUUCAUAUGCAUAUACAAAAUCUUGACAGAUUGUAUUUCUGUCUGUCCAUGAGAACAUUGGUUCUCUUUAUGAGUGUUUCUCCAAGAAUGGGUUUCAGAUCACCUUCUUCAAAAUCACCUUGGGUAUUUAUUAAAUAGUAAGCUCUAACAUCUUUGGUAAGUCAGGAGUGCUUCUCCGAGUGAGUCAUUAGCAUUAGGAGAUACCAGCCCAGGAGAGGGAAGAAUACUGAGGCAUAAGGGAGGGUAUUUGCAAAGGUCCUGUGGCAGGACAGGAAAUAGGAACUGCAUGAGACUGAAAGGGCAGAGGAAAUAAGUCCUAGAGAGAGAGAAUGAUGGAGGGGAGUCUUGUUUGAAAGUCCCUUUAGGAGCCUGGGUGGCUCAGUUGAGCAUCUGACUUUGGCUCAGGUCAUGAUCUCCCUGCUUGUGGGUUUGAGCCUCCCAUCAGGCUCUCCACUGUCAGCACAGAGAUCAUUUUAGAUCCUCUGUUUCCCUCUCUCUCUGCCUCUUAAUCCUUCCUAAAAAAUAAUAAAAUAAACAUUAAAAAAAGAGAAAAUCCCUUAAAUUCCAAAACCAUCCCUUCAGCAAGGAAAAAUGUAGAGUCACAUACUUAGGUUAAACCAAAACAUUUUGUGAGUCAUCUGUGACAGUUGAAAACAGCGUGCAUUUCUGUGGAAAUGCCAACAGUGGUUUUAUUCCGCCCUGAUGCUUUUUUUUUUUUAGGUCAUUGGUUAAUCCUGUAGUUUCUAUGGACAUUUUUCAGUUUUAUCCUACCUCAGUCUACCUUGCUGCAACCUCAGUCUCAAUGAUUCAAUGUAGUGAUAUCCUAACCUAGAGGAGAACCACUGGACAGAGACAACCAAAGUCCAGAAUUCCUGAACUUCACGCUGUUCCUGAGCACUGCUCCCCUGUGUUGCUAGAUAAUAUGGUGGCAGGCCUUGGGGUCUGGGAAUGGAAGAAAAUCCUACAUGAAUUAAAGUCUGUCUCAUUGAGUGUGAAAGAAGAUGCAUCAACCCAUUGGUAACGUUUGCAGCACGGUCACAGUGAGAUCACCUGUGUAGCUCCUUCGGAUCUUUAUUUCUUCUCAGUUGUUUUUGGUUUUGUUUUGUUUUUUAAUUAAAUGACCCUUGUUGUAUAAAAUAUCCAGUUAUCUUCCUUAGUUCAUAUAUAUCCAGAUUCUUACUUACUAUGCAAUUCUCCAAAGGCUGGGAAGGUCUUCUCAUAUUAUGUAUAAAUGUUUCAGCUUAUGUGGUCUUUCACAGAUUCAAGUCCAUGUUUUACUAAAAAAUAUGAAAAUAUUAUUUGUUAAAUAUAAUUAUUAAAUACUUUUUAAAGACAUGUCAAAUUCAUGACUAAGUGAGUUGAAUAAUCAAUUUUUACUGCUAUAUAUAUACUAAGAAGGACUCCGAGGCUUGCCUUUUACAGUGAUUUUUGCUUUAUGUUACAUUUAUCAAAAUGACUUUGAUGGAAGACAACACCUGAACAUAUUAAGAGCAAUUUAUGAUAAAAGAUUCUCUCAUUAAAUAAGUUUAGAACAACAAUUACUUGGGCUUGGAUAUUAUGGGAUGAAUAUUAUGUUUUUAAAUUUUGUUUGUCUAGAUAAUUCUUGCUGUAAUGUUUUCUGAAGAACAUCAUGGAAGACUAGAGUUCAGUGGGACACUUUUCAGUAAAUGCUGUCCUCUGUCACGUUGGUUGUCAUUCCCAAGGGACUAUGGGAAGAAGAGUUAUUACCAACCACACAUCACACACCAGCACAGUUGGUAAUAAGGGGAACAGGGGCAUGCGCUAUCAUGACAAUACUAAAAACAUGUACCCUUAUGACCUGCUGUUGAAAUUAGAUAGUAAACAUCUCUUAUUAAACAAGAGUAUUAUAGCCAUGGGGUCCAAUCAGGAAAUAGAAACCACACAACAGUUUAAACAGGAGACAUUUAAUAUAAAUGAUUAAUGUCUACAAUAAAAGUGUAACCAUAAUAUAUAAAAACACAAUUUAUGGUACCCUAGGUCUGAGGAAGAAUAACCAAGGAAGAACAGAUUUACAAAGGAUUCAGACUUGGGUUGGAGAAGGUGUGGUUCAGCCCCAGCCUAGCUAACCAGCUUGCUGGUAUAGCCCGACUGCAGAUGCUCGCGGAGUUUCUAGACAAGCAAUAGGCCACCCCCCAGGGUGCACACUGAACAGGUGAUCAGCAACUAGUAGGAAGGCCAUGUGCUGGGAGUCAUAGCCCUUAUCUUGUCAAGAGGCAUUCAGAGCACAUGAGCUAUUGUAGGGACUGGCAGAGGGAGCAGCAGAUCUGUGUUGAUCUCCUGGGCCACACGCAGGCUGCAUGUGGGUUGCUCAGGAGCUUGCAGAAUCAACAGCUGCUUUCUGUGAUAGCCUCCAGGUCACUGACAGCUAUAAGAUUUGUUUCCAUGUUGAGCGGGCUGUGGAAGGAUUAUCCCCAGACUAAGGUCGUAAGAUCAUAGAGGGGUGGCAUUCUAUCCCUGUGGCUGGGCGGGCUCCACUGACUGGAUGUUCUCAUAUCAUAAAACCCCUGACACCCUACGCUCACAGGAAAUUGCAGAGGGCCUCUUCCUCCUGCACUGACCCUCCAGCGCCCUCUACUGAGAAAGCUAAACAUUGUACGCACUUUAAGGGAGAAAUACUUAAAGGAAUUCAGUAUUUUAUCAUGGAACAUAUCUUGAAAAGUACACGGAGGGAGCUGAGCAGCAAUAAAUUGACGACUGACACAAAGAUGUCACGUAGUCAUUCAUAAUGGUGGCCAGUGCAGCAGAGGGACUUACCACCCCAUGUCACUGCACAUGAAUGCUGGUAUUACUGUCUAUGUUUCUCACUGUGCUCUCCAAGUAGAAUAAAACCCAGAGGAGUGACUUCAAAUCACUUGUCUGUUUGGUUUUGAACAUUUUAUUUUUAUUUAUUUAUAUAUAUUUUUAAAGUUUAUUUAUUUAUUUUGAGAGGGAGAGAGAGAACAAGCAGGGGAGGGGCAGAGAGAGAGGGAGACAGAAUCCUGAGCAGGCUCUGAGCUAUCAGAGUAGAGCCUGACACAGGGCUCCAUCUCAUGAACCGUGAGACCAUGACCUGAGCUAAAAUCAAGAGCUGGAGGCUUAACCAACUGAGACACCCAGGUGCCCCAUUAAUAUUUUAUUUUUAAAUAAUUCUAGAUUCACAAGAAGUUGCCAACACUGGGCAGUGAGAGCUAGUGAGCACUGCUUAGGUUCCUUCAAUUGUUACGUCUUACAUGAGUGCAUAGUAUAUUAUCAGACAUAGGAAAUUGACAUCGACACAAUGUGUAUUAUAGUCUUAUGCCAUUUUAUCACGUGUAGGUUGUUACACUUUUAUCAUAGUUGUAAUAGAGAUCAGAACUUUUUCAACCCCACCUCACCCCCCAAAUAUCUCUCUUGGGCUACCUCUUUGUAGUCAUACCUAUCUUGCCCUCCACAUUUACAACACUGGCAACCACUAACCUGUUCUGCACAUCUAUAAUUUGUCAUUUCAAAGAUGUUAUGCAAAGGCAGUCAUACAGUAUGUGACCUUCUGAGAUUUUUUUUCACUCAACAUAAUACUCUUUCAUACGUAUGUGGAUAAUGGUUUUUAUGUUCUCUGCAAUCUCUAUUUUUUCAUCAGUAUUUUAGAUCAUUUACAUUUCGUGUAAUAAUUGAUAUUAUAGGGCUUAACCCUGUCAUUUUAGUUUGUUUUUAUCUUUGUUCUCUUUGUUUCCUUUUCUCUAACUUCUGUGAGUUACUUGAAUAUUUCUUAAAAUACAUUUUGAUUUAUCUAUUUUUUUAACAUGAUUUAUUUUUUUAGUGAUUUCUAAAAUAUCACAUUAUAUAUGUAUAACUUAUCACAGUCUCUUGGUGUCAGCAUUUUGCCAGUUGAAGUAUAGAAACUUUAUCUUUUAUUCCUUUACCCUCCCUAAUUUAUAGUAUAACUGUUUUUAAAUAACUCCACUACAUGCACUGAGAACCAUAGCAGACAAUGUUGAACUUUUUGCUUCAACAAUCAACCACAGUUUAGGAAAUUUAAGAGGAGAAAGUCUAAUAUGUUUAUCCAUGAUUCUUCUCUUUUUAUUGUUCUCUCUUCAUUCUUGAUGUUCCAAAAUUCUUUCUUUUAUAGUUUCCUUUGUUUCAGGAAUUCUUUUAACUAUGCUUUUAGGGUAAAUUUGGUGGCAAUGAAUUCUUUUAGUUUUUCUUCAGCUGAAUGUCUUCAUUUUUCUUUCAUCCCUAGAAGGAUAAUUUCUGUAGAAAUAAAAUUUGGAGUGACAAUUAUCUUCUCUUUUUCUUUUUUUUAUUUAUUUGAGAGAGAGUACGAAAGUGUGAGCAGGGGAGGGGCAGAGAGAGAGAAUCCCAAGCAGGGUCCAUGCUGUCAGCACAAAGCCCAAGGCGGAGCUCCAUCAGGAGCCAUGAGAUCAUGACCUGAGUCAAAAUCAAGAGUCUGAUGCUCAACUGACUCAGCCACACAUGUGCCCCCAACAGUUAUUUUCUUAUAGCCUUUGAAAAAUAUUGUGUCAUUUCCUCCUUACCUCCGUGAUUUCUGACAAAAUAUCCAUUGUCAUUUAAAUUGUUUUCCCCCCUAAGGUGAGAGGUCAUUUCUUUCUUACUGCCUGCAAGACUUUUUUUUUUUUUAAUUUUGUUUUCUGAAAUUGGAUUUUGAUGUGUCUUGGGGGUUAGCUCAACUUUUUUAAUCCAUAAGUUCAUGUCUUUUGCCAAAUUUGGGGAAUUUCCAAGCAUGAUCUCUUUGACUAGUUUUUCAGCACCACCAUCUUUCUCCUCUUCUUCUGGGACCUCAGUGACAUGAAUGUUAGAUCUUUGGUCCUUAUGAUCCCUGGUCCUUAAGGUUCUAUAUUUUUUUUCUUUCUUUCACUAUAUUUUCUUUAGGUUGUUUACAGUGGGCAAUUUUUUUUAAUGUUUAUUUAUUUUGAGAGAGAGAACAAGCACGCAAGCAUGGGAGGGACAGAGAGAGGGGGACAGAGGAUUGAAAGUGGUCUCUGCAUUGACAGCACUGAGCCCCAUGUGGGGCUUGAACUCACAAAUCAUGAAAUCAUGACCUGAGCUGAAGUUGGACGCUCAAUUGACUGAGCCACCCAGAUGCCCCUACAUUGGGUAAUUUCUAACAUUCUAUCCUCAGAUUUAUCAGUCUUUUUCUUUUGUCCUUUCCAUUAUUCAGAGACCAUCAGUGAAUUUUUUUAUUGGUGAAUUUUUUAUUUUGGUUAUUGAUAUCUCAAUUGUGAAAUUUCUAUUUGAUUAUCCUUUAUAUCUUCUGUUUGCUAAGACUUUUCCAUUGUUAAAAGAAUUUCAAGCAUGUUUGCAAUUACUCAUCGAUGCAAUUUUAUGAUGACUACUUUCAGUCAUCAUAAUUCUUUCAGAGGAUUCCAAAUAUCUGAGUCAUCUCAGUAUUGGUGUCUACUGAUUGUUUUUCUCCUCAAGUUAGGUUUUCCUGGCUCUUAGUAUGACCGGUCAUUUUCUUUUCUUUUCUUUUCUUUUCUUUUCUUUUCUUUUCUUUUCUUUUCUUUUCUUUUCUUUUUGAGGGGGAGGUACAAGUGAGCAAGGGGCAGAGAGAGAAAGAGAAAGAGGGAGGACCUGUGAUUUUCAAUUAUAUCCUGGACAUUUGGGUGAUUCUGUUAUAAAAUUUGGAACUUAUAUCUAUUUCAGAAGAUGAAGGAGAAGAAGCUUUAUUAUUUUCAAGUGGGAGUAGAAUUCCAAUUUACCCAGUUAGUCUCCUUUGACUCCCAGGAGAGGAAUGAUCCAUUACUGUUAGGUGAAGUGGGAUUUCAUUAAUAUCACCCUGACUUUCAGGGAUGGAGAGAACUACCUCCCUUCCCCAACCCCCAGUGUUAUUGGUCUUUUCAUGGGCUCCUCUGACACCACCAUUGGAAGAGAAACUUCACCAACAGUGGAUGAUGGUGAAAGUUUUAGCUGCCAACUCCAUGUCUUCUGAUGUGAGCAGGAAAGGGGAGAAGGAGAAACAUCUCAUUACCUCUAGAUGGUGCAGAACUACAUGAUCCUCACAUAGCCUUCACUGACAUCUUGGAGAUCUUGUUAUCAUUGAGUGGGGAUGAAGACCCUUGCUCUCUGAUACCAUCAUUGUGGUAGGAGGGAGAGGGGACAACAAGGAGCAAUGGUGGCAUUUUCCAUGGUGUUUGUGAUAAAUAUAUAAUGAUCUUGCACACAUCUCCCAAAACUCUUGGAAUCUCUGGAGGGUAUGAAUAUCUUCUGUAUGCUAAUGAGAUGACUGGUAGCUGGGGUCCUAAAUAGCUUCAUGAUGGGGAUUGUUCACCAGAAAAAUGAAAACAUGGUUAGAGAGUUAGAACUUUUAACCCCACCCCUGAUCUCUGAGGAGGGGAAAGGAGCUGGAUGUUGAGCUAAUCACCAACAGCCAACGAUUUAAUCAAUCAUCACUAUAAUGAAGCUUCCAUAAAAUCCCCUAAACAACCCAGAGCUUCUGAGGUGGUGAACACACCAGGAUGCCGAGAAGGCAUGGAGGUUCUGCACCACCCAGUUCAUACUUUACCAUGUGCAUCACGUCCAUUUAGCUGUUCCUGAGUUGUAUCCCUUGUAAUGAACAGGUAAAUAUAAGUAAAGUGUCAUCCUAAGUUCUGUGAGCCGUUUUAACAAAUUAUCCAACCUGAGUAAGAGGGAUCAUGGGAACCCUCAACUGAUAGCCAGUUGGUCAGAAGUACAGGUGGCAACCUGGGACUUGACUGGUCUCUGAAGUGGGGACAGCCUUAUGGGACUGAGAUCCUAAUCUUUGGAAUCUGUGCUAAUACCAAUUAGUUAACCAUAGGACACCUAGUUAGAGGCCAGAGAGUUGGAGAAUUAGUUGAUGUGGGGGAAAAAAACUUCACACAUAUCUUGAGCAAAAAUAGUUCAGUAUUUACCUGGAGGAUGGCAAUCAUGGUCCAAAAUUUCCUGUUAUGCUAAGUUGCCCCAUUUCCUGUUUCUUUGGCUAGAGAGAAGGCUUUCCUUGGGGAAGUUUCUUUGUUCCCAUUAGAAGUCUUUGGGUUAGUCUUCCAGCAACAAGUUUUGGCUACAUAAGACUGAAAGAGUUCAUUACCAUAUUGCUCCUCAAAUCUCAGAGUACUUAGGCAAUCUGUCUCUUACAUUUGCUUUAUAUAUAAUUUCCAAGGGCUUUAGCCAUAUUUAAUAGGAAGAAUAGAGAAAAGUGUGUCUAUUCCGUCUUUAUGUAGAAUCAGAAAUUCCAAAUCAGUUUUAAAGAUUAGGAUUUUUUUUUUCUAUAGGAGAACAAAAAAAUGGUUUUCCUCCACUACUUUGCAAUUUUUCUUCCUCCUACAUUUCUGUUCCUAACUCUGCAAGUUUGGCUGAGGAAUAAUUCUUUCAUUAAAUAACCUCAUGAGGUCACUAUUACCAGCUGUGACAAUGUCUCAGUCAUUCCCUUGUUAAUAAGAUCUUUUCUUAAGUCCAUUUACACAUGAGUCACAGACAUUUCCAGCAUAUGUUGAUUAGAUUCUCAGCAUAUGCUAAUCAGUUUUCCAAACAGAUAUUCAGGCCUUGCUGGGUGCUACUGUUUUUUGAGAUUUUCUAUAAUAAGUGACUAAUCCAAACUUAUUAAUUAGCAAUAUUAUUAAAGCCAAAAUUUCCAGUCUGUUCAGUCUAUGGAUUUGUGACUUAAAAUACUCUCAUCCUUCUUCCAAGCACUCCUAUCUAGGAAGCUUAUGUGUAGCAUGAAUAUGUGACCGAUUCAAAUGAUGUUUUAGCAAGAGAUGGAGCACAGAGUGUAAUUAAGAGCUAUGGGUGGGUUUCUAAUACACCCUGGAAGUUUUAUAUGCAUUAUCUAAUGUAUUUUUCAGAAUAAAGCCAUGAUGUUUAUAAAUCCAUUUUAGAAAUUAAGCUUUUGUAAGGCCUCACUGUUAGUAAAACCCAACCCAAGUUUGAACUCCUGCUGUAAGUGGAGCACACCAACAGUCCAUGACCCAUUAGUAGACCAUUAAAUCAAUUUAGCGGGUAGCAUUUCUUUUUUUAAGUGAAGGCUAUCAGAGUGGAAAACAUCACCAGACAGUUCACAUAAUAAAAGACAAUAUUUAAUGAAACCAAAAAUGUUUUUUCUUAUUUAUUUAUGUACUGUGUGAGCUGAGUCCCAAUACAUAGAAUGUGUCUUACAAUGGGGUUUGCAGUCAAAGAAGUCUGGAGACCCGUUGUAUUAGGUGACCUUUUGAGAUACUUCCAGGCCUUAAUCUAAGUGAGAUUGUUUAUCAUACACACUGUGCGAAUACUUUUGCAGAAAAAUGCAUCAUCCCUCAAGAGCAAAAUUAAUUAAUUAAUUCAUUCAUUCAUUUGUUCGUUCAUUCCAAAAUGUAUUUAUUAAAGCCCCAAGUUUGUAGGGUAGAAUCUCUGGGUUAGAAUAGAAAGUAGCCUUUUCUAUGGCAAAAAUUUAUGCUAGCGUGUAACUCUUGCUGUCUAUGAUUUGUGUUUGGAUGUGUGGGUUUGUUUCUGGCAAGGAUACAUUUUGCCAUUUGAUUUUUUUUUUCCUCUUCACCACAAAACUCUAAAACAAGGUGAAGUUCUCAUCAAUUUCACAAUGAGAUUUGAAUUGGAUGCUAAAAUUACAAAAGAGGCAUUAGUCUGCAGUGGCUAAGAGGGCAGGUUCUGGAGUCACAAAGAUGCAUUUCAAAUCCAGACUCUGUCACUCAGAACCCUGGGCAAAGUACUUUUCAGUUUCCUUUCCUGGAAGAUAAUAAUCAUAGUAGCAACUAACUCAUUCUGAUGAUGUUAGGAUUAAAAUGAGAUUCAUAUUAAGUUUUUUAUCAAAGGAUUUGCCAUAUAGCAGGAACUUAAUAGCUGUUAGCGAUUUCUCUAUUCCUUGUGAAGUAAGACAUUUGCAGAAACCAGUAAUUUCAAAAGAAGUCCUGAAUUGUUACGAACCUUUUAAUUUCAUAUUAGACUUACUAAAUUGCUUUUUCUCAGAAUGUACUAAACAAUGAAUGAACGUUGUCUGAGUUUUACAUAGUAAAUAAUUGGUGGGUGAUUUUAUAGAGAAAGAAAGGGGGAAAAAUCACUUAGUCUUGGUUUUUGUCUCUACUUUUAAAUGUCCAUGGCUGUACAAACCAGUCCUCUCCAUAAUCUAAGUUAACUGGCAUACUUUGUAGGGUCAAGAGCCAGACAUUACAUAGCAAAGCUGGAUUUCUAUACUGUAACACCAACCCCAAGAGCUGGCACUCCAGGUAUUUUGAAAAUGCUUCACACACCUGACCGCAUCUUUGACAAAAGACACUUUUGAUAUCGCAGGACAACCUGGAGCCGUCCAUGUUCCCGAUACAGAAGGGCUCCCUGAACCUCCUGAGGCAGAAGUGGGAAUCCAGCGAGCACCACAAAAGUGAGUGUUGCCCUGGAGGUAGUCGUUGCAGGCUCUUCCAGCCUCGAGAAAGCAAAUUGCUUGACCCCAAAGUAGAGGGAGUGUCAGCACCUGGACCUCCAGACGCCCCUGGCAUGCCCCUCAGUGUAGGAGAGGAGAUGUUGAACUCAGAGUGUGAGGACAAGAGUGACAACUCCAGGGAAUAUCGCCCACCUGAAGUGCUAAAAGAGGAUUCCUUGACUGGUCGGCGCAGGAUCGAGCGCUUCUCUAUUGCCCUUGAUGAGCUGAGAAGCGUGUUUGAGGCUCCCAGGAGUGGAAACAGACCAGCUAGACCAGCAGAAUAUUGCCAAAAGGUAAGGAUUGAGAGUUGAAAUUUCCAGUUGACAAGCUAGGCAACUAG
rnacentral:lncRNA from 1 species